UUUUUUUUUUUUUUUCCCAGUUUUAAAAAAAAAAAAAAAAAAAAAAAAAAAGUUGAGCGAACUUCCAAGUUCCUGUUGGCAUUAGUGUUUGAGUCAGUCUGAAAGAGCAGUUUAAAAAAAAAAAAAAAAAAAAAAAAAAAGAAAAGCUUCGAGCACCUGCGCAGAAAUUUCUCCACGCUUUUACUCAGAGCGCACUCGCAUCUUUAUUCUCUAAUAAUUUCAUUUUAGCGCAGCGGGAAUAAAUCCUUUGAAUCGGUGAAAGAAAGAGAGAAAAAACCCUGAAAAGCGGUGACUGACGCUCGGGACGCAGAGGAGGAAACGCUCAUUUAUCCAGGAGUUUCUAAAGGCCAGGAGGAGACGGGGAGGACGGGGAGCCGGAACAGCUGUCCUGAAAGGCUCUUGUCGUCCCACCUUCUGUGAAACUGUCUGCGUUCUUCCUGACAUCCGGCAUCCGCUGGAGAGGCAGCCGUGCAGGGCUAACCGGUGAGCAUCGGGCGCGCCGCCUUUGACGGAUGCUCAUGCGCCUCCUGUGUUGUCGGGGGACAGGCCGCUGACACUCUUCAUCUUUCACCGGCAAAGUCUGAGGGCUCUCUGUGCAGCGGCGACUAGAGCGGAGCUGAAGCUGAAGCGGGCUUAACCGGGCUAAGUACUCUGUCUGAGGAACAACCCCCUCCCAACGUCUGAGGUGACUGUCUGAGGUGACUCAGGGCUUUGAGGGAAGAGAAAGGGAGGAAGUGGAAGAGAGAAAAAUGUGUGUGUGUGUGGUGGAGGGAUUUGAGCUAACUUGAAUAUUUGUUAUUAUUGUUCACAUGAAUGGAGGAAUUUUAAGUGCGGGAAACAGGAAGGAAAGACGACAGACAAUGAACAGAACGCAGAAUGAUGAGGAGAGGAGAAGUUACAAUGUUGGUUACUCACUUUACCAUGCACUGUGUAUGUGUGCAUGUGUGUGUGUGUGUGUGUGUGUGUGUGUGUUGGGAGGGGAGCAGAGGGGUGACGGUUACAAUAAGGCAGAGGCUGAUUGUAUUACAUAUUCAUCACACAGACAUAACACACACACACACCCCACACACACGAGUCAGCUUUAAGUGGACAUACAGACGGACCUCAUGAGCAUAUCUACAGAUAAUUCCUGUUUAAUCUCAUUAGUCCUCCAAUGUAGUAGUUUGUUUGUGUUUAACCGUAGACAAGCAGUGCCUUUCAUUGCUGUGCACUGAACUUAACGCUGAUACGCACAUCUGUUUGACGCGAGCUAAAAUAAAGAUGGGAGUCCAGAAAAGUAGAAAGAGAGAGAAGUGUGGCAGAUGGAACCUUUAACAUCCUGACACGGUUAUCCGUCUGACAGAGCAAAGUGGAACCCCCUGCAGGCCCACGCCUCCAGGCUCCGGUACUCUCCAAGGAUGCAAGGUUAGUUCACCCAGCAGCUAUUUCUUGUGGAGCUGUGGAAUUGCCUUUGACAGAGCACUGGGAAUAUCUAGCCAAGGUGCGGAUGAACAUGUUGCGUUCGUCUGUUAAUAGCAAGGUCUCGUAUGUUAUUUUGGUUGAUUGAGAUGACGGUUCUUCUCACAUCUGACUAUCUCAGUUACUCUUUUUUUCCCACAGUUUGGGUAUAAUGAUAGAUGCAUGUGCCCGGGCAUGUGGCUGCGUGCGGUCGUAAAUUUAGACAUUAUGACAAAAAAAGAAAUGCGUGAAUAAUUUAAAACCUCCCUAAUUUUUCUUAUGCCAUUCUUCAGAUUCCAACUGCAUUGCUGUGAGAAAAGCAUAUGUUGGAGAGUUCAGGAGGAUUUUGUACGGUGCCUGUGAACUGUGAGUGAUGGCAACCAGCCGACUGCUCUCUCUCCCGUCUAACCGUGCGAGAGUCCCACGCGCCCAGUUCCCUUUCUCAGAACUAACACCGCGGCGAAUUGAAACAA